GUGCCCGCUUUGGCAGCACAUAUACAAAAAUUGGAAGGAUGCAGAGAAGAUUAGCACGGCCCCUGCGCAAGGAUGACAUGCACAUUCGUGAAGUGUUCCACAUUUAA
ensembl:snRNA U6 U6 spliceosomal RNA